rnacentral:misc_RNA from 1 species
CGCAGAGCAAGGUGGUGGGCAACACCCACCCGGGGCAACCCGCGGGAAAGUGCCACAGAGAACAGACCGCCGCUCUCUCCGUUCAUUCGGGAAGAGGGGUAAGGGUGAAACGGUGGUGUAAGAGACCACCAGCGUGCCGGGUGACCGGGGCGGCUAGGUAAACCCCACCUGGAGCAAGAUCAAGAAGCCGUUCCUCUUCGGAGGAACGGUGCGCACACGUUCGAGGGCUGCUCGCCCGAGUGUGCGGGUAGAUCGCCCGAGGCUGUCGGCAACGGCAGCCCUAGAUGGAUGGUCGCCAACCGGGGCCACGCAAGAAACCCCGGCGA